AUUUUGACUUAAUAAAUAUGCUUAUUGAAUUUAAUGUGCAUUCAUCUGUCCAUACCCUCGUCCGCUCUAGACACACACACCGAAUGUAACAUAGCAUAACGAACAUAACGCUGAACUGCGGCAAAAACACUGCCUACCACUCCCUCGUUGUAAUGUCAGUCAAGCACAAUCAAAUAAAAAAGACAAAAAUAAUGCUUUCUGGAUAUUAUUGCCUAUUAAAAGUUUUUUUCCGCUGAAAUUCGACUGUUUUCAUCAAUUUACGACCAAAAACUACAGUUUCAGGUGUUUUGCAUAGCUUCGGUACUUUCUAUUCCCAGAAAACGAAGUAGUAAACUAACGGCACCAGUUGCACAUGAAGCCACAUCUACUGCGACUGCAAUCGUGGGAAUCAAUCCGCUAUCGCAACGGUGGCAGAGGUUUCGAGUUCGAUUCCAAGUGCUAUGUCUUAAAUGGGAGAUUAUGCGAUCAUCGCAGUGUUGGCGGCUGAUGAUAACGUGCGCUGAUAGUAAUCACAGUAAUGAAUCGGGAGGUAAAAUGUAAUAUUACAACAGCAAUCUAUCGGUCGUUUGAUCACAAACUUCUGUUUGUGUGUAACAGAGGAUACUUUAGCAAUA